UACGUAGGGUGCAAGCGUUGUCCGGAAUUAUUGGGCGUAAAGAGCUCGUAGGCGGUUCGUCACGUCGGCUGUGAAAUCCCGAGGCUCAACCUCGGGUCUGCAGUCGAUACGGGCGGACUUGAGUACUGCAGGGGAGACUGGAAUUCCUGGUGUAGCGGUGAAAUGCGUAGAUAUCUGGAGGAACACCGGUGGCGAAGGCGGCGUCCUGGACCAAUACUGACACUGAGGAGCGAAAGCCAGGGGAGCAAACGGG
rnacentral:rRNA from 1 species